CAGUAGCCACGGGAAUACCGAGGGUGCAAGCGUUAAUCGGAAUUACUGGGCGUAAAGCGCGCGUAGGUGGUUUGUUAAGUUGGAUGUGAAAUCCCCGGGCUCAACCUGGGAACUGCAUCCAAAACUGGCAAGCUAGAGUAUGGUAGAGGGUGGUGGAAUUUCCUGUGUAGCGGUGAAAUGCGUAGAUAUAGGAAGGAACACCAGUGGCGAAGGCGACCACCUGGACUGAUACUGACACUGAGGUGCGAAAGCGUGGGGAGCAAACAGGAUUAGAUACCCCUGUAGUCCCUGUCUCUUAUAC
rnacentral:rRNA from 1 species